GACACGUUCCACUACAUAUUCAUUUUCUCCAAAAAUAACAAAAGGAAAAAAAUAAAAACUCUCGUCUCUCUCUAGAUGAUGGCUACCCCUCACUCACUUACCAACUCUCCUCAUAUUCUCUUUUUCGGCUAAAAAACGAAGAAAAAAGAAAACGAAAAAGCAAAAGAAAAGAGGAGACCCAUUCGAUAAUCCUCCAGUCUCUG
rnacentral:lncRNA from 1 species